rnacentral:rRNA from 1 species
CGGUAGAGAGAAGCUUGCUUCUCUUGAGAGCGGCGGACGGGUGAGUAAAGCCUAGGAAUCUGCCUGGUAGUGGGGGAUAACGUUCGGAAACGGACGCUAAUACCGCAUACGUCCUACGGGAGAAAGCAGGGGACCUUCGGGCCUUGCGCUAUCAGAUGAGCCUAGGUCGGAUUAGCUAGUUGGUGAGGUAACGGCUCACCAAGGCGACGAUCCGUAACUGGUCUGAGAGGAUGAUCAGUCACACUGGAACUGAGACACGGUCCAGACUCCUACGGGAGGCAGCAGUGGGGAAUAUUGGACAAUGGGCGAAAGCCUGAUCCAGCCAUGCCGCGUGUGUGAAGAAGGUCUUCGGAUUGUAAAGCACU